rnacentral:rRNA from 1 species
UACGUAGGUGGCAAGCGUUGUCCGGAAUUAUUGGGCGUAAAGCGCGCGCAGGCGGCCUUUUAAGUCUGAUGUGAAAGCCCACGGCUCAACCGUGGAAGGUCAUUGGAAACUGAGAGGCUUGAGUACAGAAGAGGAAAACGGAAUUCCACGUGUAGCGGUGAAAUGCGUAGAGAUGUGGAGGAACACCAGUGGCGAAGGCGGCUUUCUGGUCUGUAACUGACGCUGAGGCGCGAAAGCGUGGGGAGCAAACAGG